GAGCGCGCCCUUCGGGGUGAGCGGCGGACGGGUUAGUAACGCGUGGGAAUAUACCCGACACUAAGGAAUAGCCUCUGGAAACGGAGAGUAAUACCUUAUACGCCCUUCGGGGGAAAGAUUUAUCGGUGACGGAUUAGCCCGCGUUAGAUUAGAUAGUUGGUGGGGUAAUGGCCUACCAAGUCUACGAUCUAUAGCUGGUUUUAGAGGAUGAUCAGCAACACUGGGACUGAGACACGGCCCAGACUCCUACGGGAGGCAGCAGUGGGGAAUCUUGGACAAUGGGCGCAAGCCUGAUCCAGCCAUGCCGCGUGAGUGAUGAAGGCCUUAGGGUCGUAAAGCUCUUUCGCCAGAGAUGAUAAUGACAGUAUCUGGUAAAGAAACCCCGGCUAACUCCGUGCCAGCAGCCGCGGUAAUACGGAGGGGGUUAGCGUUGUUCGGAAUUACUGGGCGUAAAGCGCGCGUAGGCGGGCUAGUAAGUUAGAGGUGAAAUCCCGGGGCUCAACCCCGGAACUGCCUUUAAUACUGCUAGUCUUGAGUUCGAGAGAGGUGAGUGGAAUUCCGAGUGUAGAGGUGAAAUUCGUAGAUAUUCGGAGGAACACCAGUGGCGAAGGCGGCUCACUGGCUC
rnacentral:rRNA from 1 species